rnacentral:rRNA from 1 species
AGCGAACGCUGGCGGCAGGCCUAACACAUGCAAGUCGAACGAACCUUUCGGGGUUAGUGGCGGACGGGUGAGUAACACGUGGGAACGUGCCUUUAGGUUCGGAAUAACUCAGGGAAACUUGUGCUAAUACCGAAUGUGCCCUUCGGGGGAAAGAUUUAUCGCCUUUAGAGCGGCCCGCGUCUGAUUAGCUAGUUGGUUGAGGUAAUGGCUCACCAAGGCGACGAUCAGUAGCUGGUCUGAGAGGAUGAUCAGCCACAUUGGGACUGAGACGCGGCCCAAACUCCUACGGGAGGCAGCAGUGGGGAAUCUUGCGCAAUGGGCGAAAGCCUGACGCAGCCAGGCCGCGUGAAUGAUGAAGGUCUUAGGAUUGUAAAAUUCUUUCACCGGGGACGAUAAUGACGGUACCCGGAGAAGAAGCCCCGGCUAACUUCGUG